rnacentral:tRNA from 6 species
GCCCAGAUAGCUCAGUUGGUAGAGCAGGGGAUUGAAAAUCCCCGUGUCGGUGGUUCGAUUCCGCCUCUGGGCACCA